UAUUUAUAUACAGGGUGCCUAAAUUAUUAAUCUAUAAUGGCUGAGAAUAUACCUAUAAGCUGAUCUAGGUAAUGCUAGCGUAGCACACGAAUAAAUGUAUAUUC
rnacentral:ncRNA from 1 species